AGCCACAGCCAUAUCACCCUGCAGCCCAAGACUGCAUGGUUGCCCACUGAAGCUAAGCAGGGUUGAGCCUGGUCAGUAUCUGGAUGGGCGACCUCCUGGGAAAACUAGGUUGCUGCUGGUA
rnacentral:rRNA from 1 species